GGGGGAGACUGAAGUCAGACUUGACUUCACCUUACAUCCUAGAUAUGCGAGGCUGGAGCUGAGCCCAUCUCUUCUCGGUUAGGCAUCAACGUUGUCCCUUUCGUAAUGGGGAAAAAAAGAGAAAAUCUGUCAACUGUUAAAAGUUGUCCUCUUUACGUCUCACCACUGUGGAGUGGUCCUUCAUACUACACCUCCGACUCACCCUUGCCCUCUCUGCUCCUGCUCUUGUGUGAAGCCCACAUUCCAGCCGGGGUGUCAGGUCAGCACAGGCGCUGAAGGAUAAGUAGUGGUUUGCAGGCAGCAUCCAUUUGUUUCACCUCUGAUUAGGCCCAGGAAUGUCAGCCAUGGAGAGCUAUGGACGUUCCGACAGCCUCGUUUGACACCUCGACUAUUGGUCACUACAAAGAACAAGCUGAAACAUUAUCCACCCAAUGGCUGCCGGCUUUAUGGGCACUGGAAAAGUUCCUAAACAUUAUAUUUAUUUUGCUUGUGUAUACUGUGAGACAACUUUUGUUUGACACUACUCACUCUGCCACCUGGCUUUGUUUGCCUGUCAGUGCGGUCAUUUAAUGACUAUUUGAGUGUGUCGAUGUGCUGCUGUGAAAAGCAAAAUAUUGUCUUGAAAGGGAGAGAAUUGAGCUGAGUCAAAUUAGAAACAUGGGUUAGAGAGUUUAUGGGAAUGAAUUUUUGUGUAUUAUAAAUGUGAAUUAUGAAUUUGAAAUUGAAUUUAAAAAACUUGAAAACAUUUGUGCAUCAUAUGCUUUUUUAUUUUGUCUAACACAACAUUGACCACUUUGUUACAAAAUAAGUUUAAAUAAAUGGUAAAAUUGAGGUAACAGCAGUCUCUGAAGGCACAUUUCUCGACUAUUGUUAUAAUGUCUAUGUUGUAUGCUUACUUCAAACCACCACUAUGGUUCUGGAGGAAUAGGAACAAAAGGCAGCGCUUUCCUCAGGAAAGUUAUACUAUUUACUGCAAGUAUGUCACUAAGUUCUAUGAAUUCCAGAUACAAAGAGCAUUUCUUCCAUUGAAACUUCUUGUAAUAUAAACAUUUAAUAACAUUAAGAAUCUUUGUUGUUUCGUUCGUUGUUUGUAGUUAUGCAAUACAUGUGCACAUAAUCAUUAAACAUGGACUAAAACCAAUGCAUCCUUAAUUUCAUCCUUGAGUCCACUUAUGAGAUCUGAUCAGCAUUGCAGAGAAACAUGAACAGUCUGGGUAGAGAGUUCAAUAAGGUUGUUGAUGUAAAGCAACAUUCAUAGGGGAUGUGUUAAAAAAAUGGUAUUGUUGAAAAAUAUUGACAGGUCAUAGAUUGACCUUCAAUAACCCAAAGUGGCACACAAAAUAGUAGUAUACCACAAAAGUAUAGCUGAAACUGGCACAACAUGCUUCUACGUUGUAUAUAAAUGCAUCUGUGUCCAUGUUUUCAUUUUCUCAUUUUUAGAACAAUGGAUCACAAUCACUUUUGGACCUUGGCAGGGAUAUACAUGUACGUCGCCAAUGACAAAUACAAAUAAAUCCAAUAAUAACGUGACAUUUGAACUUAAUAAAAUAAUCAGAAAAGUUUGGCAGGACAACAAGUAUGUAAGUGGCAGCAAAACCAUGGGCCGAAGCUCAUUCUCAGAACUGUUGCAGUACUAGACCAGUCCAUAUAAGACAAACCUCUCAUACUCAAGGUUACCUUGUAAGCUUGUGGUUUUUCUAUUGUCCAUAGAAAGGUAAUGUACAAAAGGUCAUAUAAACCCAAAUGCAUUAGGUAAUUGUGUACAGCUCUAAUA